rnacentral:rRNA from 1 species
GACGAACGCUGGCGGCGUGCCUAAUACAUGCAAGUCGAACGCAGUGGGGACGGGUGAGUAACACGUGGGUAACCUCCCAUCAGAGGGGAUAACACUUGGAAACAGGUGCUAAACCGAUACUGAUGGAUGGACCCGCGGUGCAUUAGCUAGUUGGUGAGGUAACGGCUCACCAAGGCCACGAUGCAUAGCAGACCUGAGAGGGUGAUCGGCCACGCUGGGACUGAGACACGACCCAGACUCCGACGGGUGGCAGCAGUAGGGAAUCUUCCGGAAUGGACGAAAGUCUGACCGAGCAACCCGGCGUGAGAGAAGAGGGGUUUCGGAUCGUAAAAGUCUGUUGUUAGAGAAGCGGUAUCUAACCAGAAAGCCACGGCUAACUAAGUGACAGCCGCCGCGGUAAUAC